ACUAUUCAUUGUAUAUGAACUAAUGGCGAAUACAACUCAUGUCCUUCAAAUUGGGGUUCGUAUAAACAUAAUCUUGAUUUCUUACUGGCUGGAAAUAACUAGAAUACUAACCCAUCUAUGUCUUUUUAUCAUAUCAUCUUGUGGAGAGUAUUACGAGCUUCCUGAACAUCUCUUCUGAUCCAACAACCUUCAUUCAGAUCUUUUUAAGGUAUUCAAUAAUCCGAGGGAGCGGCCUUUCACCUUUGAGGAGAUAUGUGAAGUUCGAGAAAUGUUGGCAAGCUUCAUUACCAGUGAUUGUCUUUGAUAUUUUCUUGUACUGGAUCUUAAAUUGUGGAUGCUAGUUUUUCAUAUGAUUGUAAUGUAAUCGACUUUUAUAUUUACAAUUAUAUACUAUUUAAUUUAAUUAUCUAUAUAAUUGGAUACUUUUUAUGUGA